rnacentral:tRNA from 1 species
GGGCUUGUGGUCUAGUGGUAUGAUUCUUCCUUAGCAUGGAUCUUGAAGGGGCAGCAGCAGCUUCUCCAUCAAUCUGUACUUGAGACUGGAAGAGGUCCGGGGUUCAAUUCCCCGCGAGUCCA